rnacentral:lncRNA from 1 species
UGGCAUUGUUGACAUUUGAAAAAAAAUAGAAAACCAUAAGUUCACGCUAUAUAAACAUUGACCAUUGGAAUUGAGAGGGAGAGAAAACCUAGACCAAUAAAAAUUAAUUUACGGCAUUGCAUAAUGAUCUAAUCAUCUCUCUCCAAAUUUCAUCUUUCUCGAUUGUGGCAUUGUUCACGUGAACCCUUCACAUUUUUAUCAUCACCAACUCAUGACUAUGAGCUCUAUUUCCACGAAGAAAGAAAGGGAACAUCACCUACCUUCAUUUUCUGACAUAUCAAACAAACUACAUCUCCAUCUACAUAAAAAAAAAAUCGAAAACUUCCUCCACCAAACUACAUCCAAACACCACCAUGUCAAGGGAACUCGUAACACCAUAUACCACACUCCAAAGAAAUCACGACCAAAGCUUUAUCUCCACAUUUUAACUCUUAUUUCCUAUCAACAUCACCACCUUACUCUGAAUAACUUGUCCUCCAUACUCGCACAACAACAAAAAACCUUUAAGUUUGCUUCCACCAUACGCAAAUCAUUUUUCACAUCA